UACGUAGGGUGCGAGCGUUGUCCGGAAUUAUUGGGCGUAAAGAGCUCGUAGGCGGUGUGUCGCGUCGGCCGUGAAAACCUGCAGCUUAACUGUGGGCUUGCGGUCGAUACGGGCAUCACUGGAGUUCGGCAGGGGAGACUGGAAUUCCUGGUGUAGCGGUGAAAUGCGCAGAUAUCAGGAGGAACACCAAUAGCGAAGGCAGCUCGCUGGGACGUUACUGACACUGAGGCGCGAAAGCGUGGGGAGCGAACAGG
rnacentral:rRNA from 1 species